UACGUAGGGUGCAAGCGUUGUCCGGAAUUAUUGGGCGUAAAGAGCUCGUAGGCGGUUUGUCGCGUCUGCUGUGAAAUCCCGAGGCUCAACCUCGGGUCUGCAGUCGAUACGAGCAAACUAGAGUGUUGCAGGGGAGACUGGAAUUCCUGGUGUAGCGGUGAAAUGCGCAGAUAUCAGGAGGAACACCGAUGGCGAAGGCAGGUCUCUGGGCCGAUACUGACGCUGAGGAGCGAAAGCGUGGGGAGCGAACAGG
rnacentral:rRNA from 1 species